rnacentral:rRNA from 1 species
GACGAACGCUGGCGGCGUGCUUAACACAUGCAAGUCGAACGGAAAGGCCCUGCUUUUGUGGGGUGCUCGAGUGGCGAACGGGUGAGUAACACGUGAGUAACCUGCCCUUGACUUUGGGAUAACUUCAGGAAACUGGGGCUAAUACCGGAUAGGAGCUCCUGCUGCAUGGUGGGGGUUGGAAAGUUUCGGCGGUUGGGGAUGGACUCGCGGCUUAUCAGCUUGUUGGUGGGGUAGUGGCUUACCAAGGCUUUGACGGGUAGCCGGCCUGAGAGGGUGACCGGCCACAAUGGGACUGAGAUACGGCCCAGACUCCUACGGGAGGCAGCAGUGGGGAAUAUUGCACAAUGGGCGGAAGCCUGAUGCAGAAACGCCGCGUGCGGGAUGACGGCCUUCGGGUUGUAAACCGCUUUCGCCUGUGACGAAGCGUGAGUGACGGUAAUGGGUAAAGAAGCACCGGCUAACUACGUG